rnacentral:rRNA from 1 species
GACAGAGGAUGCAAGCGUUAUCCGGAAUGAUUGGGCGUAAAGCGUCUGUAGGUGGCUUUUUAAGUCCGCCGUCAAAUCCCAGGGCUCAACCCUGGACAGGCGGUGGAAACUACCAAGCUGGAGUACGGUAGGGGCAAAGGGAAUUCCCGGUGUAGCGGUGAAAUGACGUAGAUAUCGGGAAGAACACCAAAGGCGAAAGCACUUUGCUGGGCCGAAACUGACACUGAUAGACGAAAGCUAGGGGAGCAAAUGGG